rnacentral:rRNA from 1 species
CCUCGGGAGGCUGCAGUCGAGAAUCAUUCACAACGGGGGAAACCCUGAUGGUGCGACGCCGCGUGGGGGAAUGAAGGUCUUCGGAUUGUAAACCCCUGUCAUGUGGGAGCAAAUUAAAAAGAUAGUACCACAAGAGGAAGAGACGGCUAACUCUGUGCCAGCAGCCGCGGUAAUACAGAGGUCUCAAGCGUUGUUCGGAAUCACUGGGCGUAAAGCGUGCGUAGGCUGUUUCGUAAGUCGUGUGUGAAAGGCGCGGGCUCAACCCGCGGACGGCACAUGAUACUGCGAGACUAGAGUAAUGGAGGGGGAACGGGAAUUCUCGGUGUAGCGGUGAAAUGGGUGGAUAUCGGAGGGAA